rnacentral:rRNA from 1 species
GACGAACGCUGGCGGCGUGCCUAACACAUGCAAGUCGAACGGAGAAUUUUGAUAAGCUUGCUUAGAUAAAUUUUAGUGGCGGACGGGUGAGUAACGCGUGGGUAACCUACCCAUAAAACCGGGACAACCCUUGGAAACGAGGGCUAAUACCGGAUAAUCUUUUAGCUUGGCAUCAAGUUUUAAGAAAAGGUGGCCUCUGUAUAUGCUACCGAUUAUGGAUGGACCCGCGUCUGAUUAGCUAGUUGGUGGGGUAAAGGCCUACCAAGGCGACGAUCAGUAGCCGGCCUGAGAGGGUGAACGGCCACACUGGGACUGAGACACGGCCCAGACUCCUACGGGAGGCAG